rnacentral:rRNA from 1 species
UACGAAGGGAGCAAGCGUUGCUCGGAUUUAUUGGGCGUAAAGGGUGUGUAGGCGGUUUGAUAAGUUAGAUGUGAAAGCCCAGGGCUUAACCCUGGAAUUGCAUUUAAGACUGUUAGACUUGAAGAUUGGAGAGGUAAGCAGAAUUCCCAGUGUAGAGGUGAAAUUCGUAGAUAUUGGGAAGAAUACCAAUGGCGUAGGCAGCUUACUGGCCAAAUCUUGACGCUGAGGCACGAAAGCGUGGGGAGCAAACAGGG